rnacentral:lncRNA from 1 species
CCAUUUGCUCAACACAUAAUGGGGAUUAGAAUUCAUUAAUGCACUACAAAUUAAAGUAUUAAUAACGGCUGCAGAGUUUAAAUGAGAGCCAGGGAAGGGAAUCCUCUUUAAUAUGCUGUGACAGCCGCUGAAGUGACCCCAGACAAUAAACAGGGCCUCCUAGUUAAGUAUUAAUCUGUCAAAAGAAUGACCUUCAUCCACUAAAGAAGGGAUGUUUUUAAAAACCUCGCAAGUGGAGGAAGGCUCAUUUGCUCGCUCAUUUAGCAUAUUAAAAGGGUAUUAUUGCUACAAACAAGAAAUCUAAAUGAGGCC